rnacentral:rRNA from 1 species
GGAAUAUUGGUCAAUGGGCGUAAGCCUGAACCAGCCAAGUAGCGUGCAGGAUGACGGCCCUAUGGGUUGUAAACUGCUUUUAUGCGGGGAUAAAGUCACCUACGUGUAGGUGUUUGUAGGUACCGCAUGAAUAAGGACCGGCUAAUUCCGUGCCAGCAGCCGCGGUAAUACGGAAGGUCCGGGCGUUAUCCGGAUUCAUUGGGUUUAAAGGGAGCGCCGGCUGAUGAUUAAGCGUGACGUGAAAUGUAGCCGCUCAACGGCUGAACUGCGUCGCGAACUGGUUAUCUUGAGUGAGUUCGAUGUUGGCGGAAUUCGUGGUGUAGCGGUGAAAUGCGUAGAUAUCACGAAGAACUCCGAUUGCGAAGGCAGCCAACAAGGCCUUUACUGACGCUAAAGCUCGAAGGUGCGGGUAUCGAACA